rnacentral:rRNA from 1 species
UACAGAGGUCUCAAGCGUUGUUCGGAUUCAUUGGGCGUAAAGGGUGUGUAGGUGGCUCCGUAAGUCGGGUGUGAAAUUUCGGAGCUUAACUCCGAAACUGCAUUCGAUACUGCGGUGCUUGAGGACUGGAGAGGAGACUGGAAUUCAUGGUGUAGCAGUGAAAUGCGUAGAGAUCGGAAGGAACACCAGUGGCGAAGGCGGGUCUCUGGGCCGUAACUGACGCUGAGGAGCGAAAGCGUGGGGAGCGAACAGG